ensembl:lncRNA
GGGUUACCUCAUCCAAGAUGGUUUCUUUAAGUUCCAUCCAUUUACCUGUGUAUUUUAAAUUUUCAUUGUUUUUUUUUCUGCUGAGUAGUACUCCAUUGUGUAUAUAUACUAUAUUUUCUUAUCCAUUCUUAGGUUGAGGGGCCUCUAGGUUGCUUCCAAGUUCUGGAAAUUACAAAUAAUGCUUCUAAGAACAUAGCUGAUCAGAUGUCCUUGUGGUGUGAAUGGUUAUCUUUGUGUAUAUGCCUAAGAGUGGACUUGCUGUGUCUUGAGGUAGACUGAUUAACAUUUUCCUGAGAAACUACCAUACUGAUCCAAAGUGGCUGUACAAGUUGGCAUUUCCACCAGCAGUAGAGGAGUGCUCCCCUUUCUCCACAUCCUCUCCAGCAUGAACUGUCCUUGCUGCUUUGAUUUCAACCAUUCUGACAGAUACAAGAUGGUAUAUCAGAGUUGUUUUGACUUACAUUUCUCUGAUGGCUAAGGAUGGUGAGCACUUUCAUUUUUUAUUUUUAUAAUUGUAAUUAGAACAAUUUUAAAUUAGAAACAAGCUUCUUUUACAUGUCAAUCCCAGUUUCCUCUCCCUCCUCUCCUCCCCUGCCCCUUCACCCCCUAUGCUUACUCCUUUCUGAUCCCCAGAGAGGGUGAGACCUUCCAUGCCAGAUCUUCAAUUGGAUAUUGACAUAUCAAUUGGAUCAGGGCCUAGACCCUCCCUCAUGCAUCUAGGCUGAGACAAGUAUCCCUCUAUUUGGAGUGGGCUCCCAAAUUCCAUAGCUCCCAAAUUCCAUUUGUGUAUGAGGGAUCAAUACCUUUCUACUACCAGAGGCACCAUAGAUUGCCCAGACCUCCAAACUGAAUCCUCGUUUAGGGGGUCUGAAACAGUCCAUUGCUGGUUUCCCAGCUAUCAGUCUGGUGUCCAUGAGCAACCUCUUGUUCAGGUCAGCUGUUUCUGUGGGGUUUUCCAGCCUGGUCUUCACCCCUUUGGUGAAGAAUUUCUUAAGUGCCUGUUGGCCCUUUGGGAUUACUCUAUUUAGAAUUCUUUAUUUAGAUCUGUACCCCAUUUUUUAAUUUGAUUAUUUGGUGUUUUGUUGACUAGCUUCUUGAGUUCUUUGUAUAUUUUGGAGAUUAGCUCUCUGUCAGAUGUGGGGUUGGUGAAGAUCUUUUCCCGUAUAAUUACAUGCUAUAAACAGUGUUAGCUGUAAUGAGAGGGACGUUUUCUCUUGUCCCAGCCUGUCACACAGCUCUUGAGACCCAAAUAAACACAGGAAUACUAUAUUAAUUAUAAAACUCUUGGCUAGUGGCUUGGGCUUCUUAUUGGAUAAUUCUAUCUUAAUUAUUAACCCAUUUCUACAAUUAAUUAUUUCCAUGUGGUCUUGUCUUACCCUAGAAUGGUUCAGACCUGCAACUCCUUUGGCAGCUUACAUGGCUACUGCUUCUGCCUACCUUUCCCAGAAUUCUCCUCUUCUCCUAGUCCUUCCUAUCUUCCUGAUUUAUUGGCCAACAGUGUUUUAUUCAUCAAUAAGAGAAACAUAUACACAGAAGGACAUCCCUCAGCAUUUUCUCUUUACUGUAUAAAUAAAAAGAAGAAUUUUAACUUUAGCACAGGAAAAUUAUAUAUAACAAAACAGUUAUCAAGUAAGAAGAUUAGUUAACAAUAUUUAGUUCAUUAACAUUUGUCAAAUUAUAAAGAAAAUGUUCUAUCAUCUAUCCUUUGUGAGUCUACAGUUUUAUAUGUAACUUAUCUAUUAUUAUAACUAAGGAAAAUUAUAAACAUUACUUUGUGUCUUCAACUCCAUCAAAGACAACAAAGGGAUAAUAUAUAAACUCUAGAAUUAACAGAGACAUCUCUCUGUCUAGACAGUCACCCAAAGUUCCUUUGUAAUGUUGGAGCUUCCAUCUUCUGCCCAUAGGCAAUAGUGUGUCUGGCAGACUUCUCAGUGAAGUAGAAAUUUUUAAACUGUCCACUUGUAUUGGCAGUUUGUCACUCAUUUUCACUGUGUCCUACAGAAUGUCUGCCAGACUCUUCCAUGAAGCAGGAACCCUUCUUGUUUUUUUCAGGUUUCAUCAGUCCCUUUUCUCUGGGUCCUGCAUGUUCACUUUAUAUUGCAUACAUUCAAACAAUCCAGACAAGAACAGUUUCUUGCCCAAAUGACUGAUCUCACCUUAUUGAAAGCUACUCCAUAUCCAGUUUCUUCAAUGCCUAUCUUCCUUUCUCAUGUAAUUGGUAUAGCCAGGAGCAGUUGUGUCUCACUGUCAUAAAAAAUUCUAAACCAUUUUAAAAGCCACAUACUGUAGGUCUUUGAAAGUUUUGAAGAAUGCCUAUCCAGUUGAAAUAUAUCUCUAUAUAUCUAGAAAACCUAACUAUAACUUUUGACUAUUAUAUGUGACUAUAUAAUCUGUGUUUAAUUAUAUAUUACAUUUUUAAAUGAUCUGUAUAAACACAAUACCUAAACAAGAGGAGAAAUAUACAUAUAAUCAAAUUAACCUUAAAUUUUUAUCAAUAAUGAAAAUCCAUACCAACACAAAGUAUUCAUUUUUAUAUGAUAUUCCACCUUUUUCCUAGAGAAAGAAAUUGGUUGUGAUUAUUAAUCAUUAGUAACCAACCAAAUUUAAAUGGGAACAAAUAAUAUUUGGGUGUAGUUCUCUCCAAGGUGCUUCCUGCUGUUUGGGGGUGUUAUCAAUACCAUGGGAUCCUGAGGAAACACAGGAAUAUGUCAAAAUCCUGGCUGUAAUAGUUUGAGGCUGUAUUGUUCCAGCUGCUUUUGCAUUUUGGAUCACCUGGGCCACUGCUUCAGGAGUUCUUGCUUGAUCAAACCAUAUUAGUCUGGAAGGAAUCCACAGCUUUUUCUUUUCUAUAAAAAUAGAAACAAAAUCUCUAUUCCCAAGUAACAUGUCCUGAUAUUUAAUAAUUCCCAUUUUUACUGAUUCAUUCUUGUGUAGAUCUCAGUGGCCUUGGACUCAUAGAGAUCCAGCUAUCCCUUAAUCCUGAGUCCUAGGGUUAAAGGUGUGUACCACUACUUCCUAGCUUCUGGCUACUGGGAUUAAAGGUGUGUGCCUGGCUUAUAUGGCUGUGGCUGACUUUGUUUUCUGAAUCUUCAGGCAAGCUUUAAUAAAUCAUAAAUAAUAUAUCACUACAAUUCCCCUUUUUUGUUUAAUGCAAAAAGAAGCAUACAAAUAACACAAGAAAAACUAUGUACAAUAAGUAUAUAUAAUAUGUACAUGUAAUAAGUUCAUCAACAAUGUCUAGUCCAUUUGCAUUUGACAAGUUCAGAGAAAAUAUCUAGUCCAUUUGAAAUUGACAUAUUCAGUGAAAAUAUCUAGUCCACUCUCAUUUACCAACUUCAGAGAAAAUACUUCACUAUCUAUCCUAUCAUAAUGUGUCCAAACUCUUGUACCUAAUUUACAUUCUAUUCUAAUUUGCAUUAUCAAAAUAUCUUUCAAUGUUCCUCAAACCAUUUACACUUUGCACAUCUAUAGUGAGUUACUUUUCUGAGUCUAGUUAACAAAGAAAAGUAUAAUUAUGCUAGCUAUUUUUAAUAUCCCUCAGAGACCUGAGAAGGAAAUAAUAUUAACUGAGUAAACAGUAAGUAUGAAGAAGCAACUUCCAAAAAAACUAAAAAAUGUUAAAAUAGUUGGCUCUCUGGAAAGCCACCCAAGAUUCCUCUGCAACAUUGGAGUGUCCAUCUUUGCCCUGUAAGCUUGGCAUCUCUGACAGACUUUUCUGUGAAGCAGGAAAUGUUGGGUUUCGAAGCCACAUGGAGUUUACAUUCUUUCUGGUAAAAGCAAGCCACGAGGCAAGAAUGUGCCCUUGCUUCCAAUGCUGAGUGUAUGCUGUUCAAAUGGGACAAGCAAUAUGCUAAAGUGAAUGACUGCAAACCUUGCCAAGACAAGGUACGACAUCUCUUCAGAAAAUCCUGCCAGGGGAUUGAUUUCCUGCCAGCUAUUGAUUUUCUAUCAAUGGCUUAAAAUUUUAGAAUUUUGAAGAAGAUGUACAACAUUAUGGUAGGUAAAAUAAUAAAAGUACAUUGGGUUAAGAAUAAUGUCACAUUUUCUUUCAUAUGUUCUAGAGUCCAGAAAAUGAUGAUAGAAGACCCCAGAGUCAAAUAAUAUGCUAGAACUCAGAGUGUUUAUUUACAAGCAUAUGUGUGGUUGUUUGCCUGUACAAAAUGGUGAGAACCCUGGGGGAGUGUGACACUUAGGUCAUCUCAAUAGAAUUGGUUAAAUAAAUAGUUAUAUUAGUACAAUUCUGUUAAGAUAAAUCUGUCCACCAAAAGCCGCCGAACCCUGCUGCCACAUGUGUGCUUUACGCCAGCUGCCUGCCCGAAUUAGGCCCAAAUGAAUACACAGAAACUUGUAUUAGGUUCAAAGCUGCUUGGCCAAUGACUAGGAUUCUUCACCUGCUAGCUUAGUCUUAAUUAUCAUAAAUCUAUAUAUUUUAUAAGACUUAUCUUAUCAGACGCCUUAUUGGCAUCCUCCGUGCUGGUGGAUCACAUUGUGCUGGUGGAGGAGCAAGGGGAGAAAGGGACCCUUCCUGUUUCUCCUUCGCUUAAAUAUGAGUCUCCUUGCUAUGUCACUUCCUGCCUGGAUCACCACUUCUCUACUACAUUUCCCAGAAUCCUCUUUGACUCCUAGUCCCAUCUAACUUGCUGUCUCAUUGGCCAAACAGUAUUUUAUUUAACAGUCAAUAAGAUAAACAUACACAGUACAUUCCCCAGCACAAUUCAAUUGGCUGAGAUUUUAUCUGUGGACAUAUUUGGGAAAGUUUCAAGGGGGUUGUAGGAACUGUCCUUCCGUCAUUGUGGGGCUGACUUAGUUAGGUCUUGUUCUUGCUCUGUCCCUUGUCCUUUGGAUAAAUGACCCUUUGUUGUGAGAGACAUCUGUUUGCCCCUCUCAGAGACUGAAACCUAAAUUUAGUUGUAAAUGUGGAAAAGUUAAAAACCUUCAAUGUAGUGUGUGAAUAACUACAAAACAUGACAGAUAAUGGGCAUUAUCAAACUUAAGGUAGAAAUAUGGUGAUGGAGAAAACAUACAAUAAUAAAUGCAAGAAUAUACAUUAUAUACUGUGCUUUAAGCAUUGUAUUUUAUACAAUGAAUAUGACCUUAUUCUCUCUAUUACUACUCUAACUUUCAGAUAUUUAUUUUUUGUUAUUUCCUGCUGAUAAUAAUUUUAUUUUAUAUAGACUUUAGAAAAUUCACUUAAUGGCCUUGAUUAAUAUCCAAAUCUAUUUUUUGAUAUUUAUAACAUCAUUACAUAAUUUCUUCCUUCCUUUUCUCCCUUCAGAUCCUCAUAUAGUUGUUCAUUGAAGACAAAGGGACAGAACGAUUGUAAGAACAAGCAAAACAGGGAGUUUUACAUGUGAUGGUGUCUCCUAGGAGUAUUAGAAGCUACACCCAUAAAAUCUCAGCGACAUGACUACCUAAAUAUUAGCUUUAAAAAUCAUGAAGCCAGUGUGGAUUGUUGGCUGGUAAUCCCUUACUCUAUGUCUAAAAUCUGCAUAUGAGUGAGUACAUAUCAUGUUUGUCUUUUUGUGAUUGGGUUACCUCACUCAGAAUAGUUUCUUUGAGUUCCAUCCAUUUUCCUGCAAAUUUCAAGAUUCCAUUGUUCUUUUCUCCUGAGUAGUACUCCAUUGUGUAAUUGUACAACAUUUUCUCUAUCCAUUCUUCGGUUGAGAGGCAUCUAGGUUGCUUCCAGUUUCUGGCUAUUACAAAUAGUGCUGCUAUAAACAUCGUUGAACAGAUGUCUUUGUUGUAUGAAUGUGCUACUUUUGGGUAUAUGUCUAGGAGUGGAAUUGCUGUACCUUGUUGUUACGAUAAAUCUUUCUGCCAAAAGCCGCUGAGCCCCACCGCCACGUGUAAGCUUUAUGGCAGCCGCCUGCCCAAGUUAGGCCCAAAUGAAUACACAGAGAGACUUGUAUUAGUUACAAUGCUGCUUGGCCAAUGACUAGGAUUCUCAUCUGUUAGCUCAGUAUCAAUCAUCAUACAUCUAUAUAUUUUAUAAGACUUAUCUUAUCGGACGCCUUAUUGGCGCCCCUCCUAGCUGGUGGAUCACAUCUUGCCGCUGGAGCAGGAGCCGAGGGGAAAGAGAGCAACACUUCCUUUUUCCUCUUCUUAAAUAUGAUUCUCCUUGCUAUGUCACUUCCUGUCUGGAACACCACUUCUCUACUACAUUUCCCAGAAUCCUCUUUGACUCCUAGUCCAGCCUAACCUGCUGUCUCAUUGGCCAAGCAAGUACUUUAUUUAUAAACAUACACAGAAGUAUUUCCCCCAUCAUCUCCUCUUUUCUGUCUAAAUAAAAAGAAGGGUAACUUAUUUUUUAUAAUAACUGAAGAAAACUAUAACCAUAACUAUCUGUCUUCAACUCUAUCAAAGACCACAGAAGGAUAAUAUAUAAACUCUUGAAUUGACAGGACAUCUUGCUACCUGGGCAGUCACCCAAAGUUCCUCUGUAAAUGUUGGGGCAUCCAUCUUUAGCCUAUAGGCCACAGUGUGUCUAACAAACUCCUCCAUUUUAACAGGAACCCUUCAGUUUUGUAAGUUUAGCAGUCAUUUUCUUGUGGGUCCUGCAUGUCCAAUUUAUACAGCAACAAACAGUCCAGGCAAGAGCAGUUUCUUGCCCAAAUGGCUAGUCUUGCCAUGUUGAAAGCAAACUCCAUAACGAGUUUCUUCGAUGCCCAUCCUCCUUUCUGACAUAAUUGGUGUGCCAGGAGCAGUUGUGUCUCACUGCCAAGAAAAACCCUAAACCAUUUAAAUGCCAUAUUUCUGUAGGUCUUUGAAAGGUUUGAAGAAUACCUAACCAUCUCAAAUACAUCUCUAUAUCUAGAAAACCUAACUAACCUAAUUAUAAGUUCUGACUAUUAUAGGUAAAAGAUCUGUAUAAACACAAUACCUAAACAAGAGGAGACAUAUUCAUAUCACAAAACUGACCUUAAAGUUGUAUCAAUAAAUGAAAAUCUUUACCAAUUUAAAGUAUUCAUUCCUAGAUCCUAGUCCCUUUUCUUUUUUUUAUCAUUUAUAACCAACCUCAUUUAAAUGAAAACAAACAUUUAUAAACAAUACUUGGGAAUAUGGGCGUCGUUCUUUCUAAACUGCUUCCUGCUGAUUGGGGGCGAUGUUUAUAUACCAUUAGGAUCAUGAUAAAACAUAGAAACCUGACCAAGUCCUUGUUUUUGUAGUCUGUAAGGCUGUGUCAUCUCAGCUUUAGGGGGUCUUGCUUGAUCAAACCAUAUUAGUCUGGAAGGAAUCCACAGCUUUUGAUUUUCUGUGGAAAUACAAGUAAAACCUUUAUUUCUAAGUAGCCUGUCCUUAGACUUAAACUUUAAAGUUAAAGAAUUUUUAAGUUGGAUUAAUUUAGCAGCAUUUAUAAUCAAAUGUAUUUUAGCAGCAGUAAUUCUUUCCUUGGCAAUCAAACAAAUUAAAGACAACAGUAUGGCAUUUAGUAUCCAGAUUCUCUGUAUAUUUUUCAUCUCUAGGUGGCUUUUUUAUUAUUCUACUUUUACUUCCUUUUGUUUCUUUUUUUUUUUUCUGAGACAGCGUUUCUCUGUGGAAAUCCGCCUGCCUCUGCUUCCUUCAGCAAAUCCUACCCGUGUUGGCCACCACAACCGGUUACUCUAUUUCCUCCUGUUACUUUUUCUCUCACAAGCUUACAUAUAUUUUUUAAUGUAUUGUAAACCUUUAGAGGUUUUUCUUUAUCUUAAUCUGUCUUUAACAUCUCAGAAGUCCGAGUAUAACGCCCAAGAGCACCGGGACAGUGCGAGCAUAUAGAAGCUGCUCCAAUGCCUCUCAGCAGCCCGACAGGGCAGGCUGUGGCGGCAGGUUUCCCUCUUUCUCUGGAAACCUUGGGGCAUGGGGUCAUCCCACUUCUGACACCAUUCUGUUACGAUAAAUCUUUCUGCCAAAAGCCGCUGAGCCCCACCGCCACGUGUAAGCUUUAUGGCAGCCGCCUGCCCAAGUUAGGCCCAAAUGAAUACACAGAGAGACUUGUAUUAGUUACAAUGCUGCUUGGCCAAUGACUAGGAUUCUCAUCUGUUAGCUCAGUAUCAAUCAUCAUACAUCUAUAUAUUUUAUAAGACUUAUCUUAUCGGACGCCUUAUUGGCGCCCCUCCUAGCUGGUGGAUCACAUCUUGCCGCUGGAGCAGGAGCCGAG